UAGCUUUUGAUGAGUGAUCUUUAUGAUCUUAGCGGAUUUCAGUGAGGCUUUUCGGUCUAUGAUCUUAACAUUGUUGUUACACGCACUGAAGCUU